rnacentral:rRNA from 1 species
AGAGUUUGAUCCUGGCUCAGAACGAACGCUGGCGGCAGGCUUAACACAUGCAAGUCGAGCGGACACUUCGGUGUCAGCGGCGGACGGGUGAGUAAUGUAUGAAGAUGUACCCUUUGGAACGGAAUAACGUUUGGAAACGGACGCUAAGACCGUAUACGCACUAAGGUGGAAAGAUUUAUCGCCGAAGGAUCAUCUCAUAUCGGAUUAGCUAGUUGUGGAGGUAAUGGCUUCACAAGGCUAUGAUCCGUAGCCGGCCUGAGAGGGUGGACGGCCACAUCGGGACUGAGACACGGCCCGAACUCCUACGGGAGGCAGCAGUGGGGAAUAUUGGACAAUGGGGGCAACCCUGAUCCAGCCAUGCCGCGUGAGUGAAGAAGGCCUUAGGGUUGUAAAGCUCUUUUGUCAGGGAUGAUAAUGACCGUACCUGAAGAAUAAGCCCCGGCUAACUCCGUGCCAGCAGCCGCGGUAAGACGGAGGGGGCUAGCGUUGUUCGGAUUUACUGGGCGUAAAGGGCGCGUAGGCUGCCAUGUGUGUCAGGGGUGAAAUCCCUAGGCUUAACCUUGGAACUGCUUCUGAAACUGCAUGGCUAGAGGAAUAGAGAGGCGAGUGGAAUUCCGAGUGUAGCAGUGAAAUGCGCAGAUAUUCGGAGGAACAUCAGUGGCGAAGGCGACUCGCUGGCUAUUAUCUGACGCUGAGGCGC